GACGAACGCUGGCGGCGUGCUUAACACAUGCAAGUCGAACGGUGAAGCGCUUUCCUUUUUGGUUGGUGUGGAUGAGUGGCGAACGGGUGAGUAACACGUGAGUAACCUGCCCCCUUCUUCUGGAUAACCGCAUGAAAGUGUGGCUAAUACGGGAUAUUCUGCGCCUGCUGCAUGGUGGGUGUGGGAAAGAUUGUGCCUUUGGGUGUUUUCGGUGGGGGAUGGGCUCGCGGCCUAUCAGCUUGUUGGUGGGGUGAUGGCCUACCAAGGCGGUGACGGGUAGCCGGCCGGAGAGGGUGGACGGUCACACUGGGACUGAGACACGGCCCAGACUCCUACGGGAGGCAGCAGUGGGGAAUAUUGCACAAUGGGCGCAAGCCUGAUGCAGCGACGCCGCGUGAGGGAUGGAGGCCUUCGGGUUGUGAACCUCUUUCGCCAGUGAAGCAGGCCUGCUCCGUGUGGGUGGGUUGACGGUAGCUGGAUAAGAAGCGCCGGCUAACUACGUG
rnacentral:rRNA from 1 species